GAGUUUGAUCCUGGCUCAGAGCGAACGCUGGCGGCAGGCUUAACACAUGCAAGUCGAGCGGGCGUAGCAAUACGUCAGCGGCAGACGGGUGAGUAACGCGUGGGAACGUACCUUUUGGUUCGGAACAACACAGGGAAACUUGUGCUAAUACCGGAUAAGCCCUUACGGGGAAAGAUUUAUCGCCGAAAGAUCGGCCCGCGUCUGAUUAGCUAGUUGGUGAGGUAAUGGCUCACCAAGGCGACGAUCAGUAGCUGGUCUGAGAGGAUGAUCAGCCACAUUGGGACUGAGACACGGCCCAAACUCCUACGGGAGGCAGCAGUGGGGAAUAUUGGACAAUGGGCGCAAGCCUGAUCCAGCCAUGCCGCGUGAGUGAUGAAGGCCCUAGGGUUGUAAAGCUCUUUUGUGCGGGAAGAUAAUGACGGUACCGCAAGAAUAAGCCCCGGCUAACUUCGUGCCAGCAGCCGCGGUAAUACG
rnacentral:rRNA from 1 species